UACGAAGGGGGGCUAGCGUUGUUCGGAAUCACUGGGCGUAAAGCGCACGUAGGCGGAUCUUUAAGUCAGGGGUGAAAUCCCGAGGCUCAACCUCGGAACUGCCUUUGAUACUGGGGAUCUCGAGUCCGGGAGAGGUGAGUGGAACUGCGAGUGUAGAGGUGAAAUUCGUAGAUAUUCGCAAGAACACCAGUGGCGAAGGCGGCUCACUGGCCCGGUACUGACGCUGAGGUGCGAAAGCGUGGGGAGCAAACAGG
rnacentral:rRNA from 1 species